rnacentral:rRNA from 1 species
GAUGAACGCUGGCGGCGUGCUUAACACAUGCAAGUCGAACGGGAAUGUUUCGCUGAUGCGAUUUCGGUCAAAUCUUGAAGCAUUUUAGUGGCGGACGGGUGAGUAACGCGUGGGUAACCUGCCCUGUACAGGGGGACAACAGUUGGAAACGACUGCUAAUACCGCAUAAUGUACAUUGAUGGCAUCUUCGAUGUACCAAAGCUUUUGCGCUGAAGGAUGGGCUCGCGUCUGAUUAGAUAGUUGGUGGGGUAAUGGCCUACCAAGUCGACGAUCAGUAGCCGGACUGAGAGGUUGAACGGCCACAUUGGGACUGAGACACGGCCCAGACUCCUACGGGAGGCAGCAGUGGGGGAAUAUUGCACAAUGGGCGCAAGCCUGAUGCAGCAACGCCGCGUGGAGGAAGACGGUUUUCGGGUUGUAAACUUCUUUUAAGAGGGAAGAGCAGAAGACGGUACCUCUAGAAUAAGCCACGGCUAACUACGUGCCAGCA